rnacentral:rRNA from 1 species
AGUGAACGCUGGCGGCGUGUCUGAUUCAUGCAAGUCGAACGCCAAAGUCCCUUCGGGGGCGAGUAGCGUGGCGGAAGGGCGAGUAAUACGUGGGUAACCUACCCUCAAGAUGGGGAUAACCCAGCGAAAGCUGGGCUAAUACCGAAUGUGGUGUCCGGAUCGCCUGAUCUGGACAUCAAAGGCGGGGACCGCUUCGGCGGCCUGUCACUUGAGGAGGGGCUCACGGCCUAUCAGCUAGUUGGUGAGGUAAUGGCUCACCAAGGCAAUGACGGGUAGCCGACCUGAGAGGGUCGUCGGCCGCACUGGGACUGAGACACUGCCCAGACUCCUACGGGAGGCAGCAGAGGAGGAUAAUUCGCAAUGGGCGAAAGCCUGACGGUGCGACGCCGCGUGAGGGAUGAAGGCCUUAGGGUUGUAAACCUCUGUCG